GACGAACGCUGGCGGCGUGCUUAACACAUGCAAGUCGAACGGAAAGGCCCAGCUUGCUGGGUGCUCGAGUGGCGAACGGGUGAGUAACACGUGGGUGAUCUGCCCCUAACUUCGGGAUAAGCUUGGGAAACUGGGUCUAAUACCGGAUAGGACAAUCGUUUAGUGUCGGUUGUGGAAAGUUUUUUCGGUUAGGGAUGAGCCCGCGGCCUAUCAGCUUGUUGGUGGGGUAAUGGCCUACCAAGGCGUCGACGGGUAGCCGGCCUGAGAGGGUGGACGGCCACAUUGGGACUGAGAUACGGCCCAGACUCCUACGGGAGGCAGCAGUGGGGAAUAUUGCACAAUGGGCGCAAGCCUGAUGCAGCGAUGCCGCGUGGGGGAUGACGGCCUUCGGGUUGUAAACCUCUUUCGACAGGGACGAAGCUUUGGUGACGGUACCUGUAGAAGAAGCACCGGCUAACUACGUG
rnacentral:rRNA from 1 species